GAUGAACGCUGGCGGCGUGCUUAACACAUGCAAGUCGAACGUGAGGGUGCAGCGAUGUGCCUGAAAGUGGCGAACGGGUGAGUAACACGUAGAUGACCUGCCCUGGAGUGGGGGAUAACCAUUGGAAACGGUGGCUAAUACCGCAUACAUCCGGAGAACUGGGAAGUUUUCUGGGGAAAGCUCUGGUGCUUCAGGAGGGGUCUGCGUCCGAUUAGCUAGUUGGUGGGGUAAAGGCUCACCAAGGCGACGAUCGGUAGCUGGUCUGAGAGGACGAUCAGCCACACGGGAACUGAGACACGGUCCCGACUCCUACGGGGGGCAGCAGUGAGGAAUAUUGGGCAAUGGGCGGAAGCCUGACCCAGCAACGCCGCGUGGAGGAAGACGGCCUUCGGGUUGUAAAC
rnacentral:rRNA from 1 species